rnacentral:rRNA from 2 species
GCUUGCCAGCAAUCCUAUACAUGCAAGUCGAGCGAACAGAUAAGGAGCUUGCUCCUUUGACGUUAGCGGCGGACGGGUGAGUAACACGUGGAUAACCUACCUAUAAGACUGGGAUAACUUCGGGAAACCGGAGCUAAUACCGGAUAAGAUUUUGAACCGCAUGGUUCAAUAUUGAAAGACGGCCUUGCUGUCACUUAUAGAUGGAUCCGCGCCGUAUUAACUAGUUGGUAAGGUAACGGCUUACCAAGGCAACGAUACGUAGCCGACCUGAGAGGGUGAUCGGCCACACUGGAACUGAAACACGGUCCAGACUCCUACGGGAGGCAGCAGUAGGGAAUCUUCCGCAAUGGGCGAAAGCCUGACGGAACAACGCCGCGUGAGUGAUGAAGGUCUUCGGAUCGUAAAACUCUGUUAUCAGGGAAGAACAAACGUGUAAGUAACUGUGCACGUCUUGACGGUACCUGAUCACAAAGCCACGGCUAACUACGUGCCAGCAGCCGCGGUAAUACGUAGGUGGCAAGCGUUAUCCGGAAUUAUUGGGCGUAAAGCGCGCGUAGGCGGUUUUUUAAGUCUGAUGUGAAAGCCCACGGCUCAACCGUGGAGGGUCAUUGGAAACUGGAAAACUUGAGUGCGAAGAGGAAAGUGGAAUUCCCCGUGUAUCGGUGAAAUGCGCAUAGAUAUGGAGGAACACCAGUGGCGAAAGCGACUUUUCUGGUCUGUACUGACCUGAUGUGCGAAAGCGUGGGGAUCAAACAGGACUCUUAUACCCUGUGAUAUUCCCCGCCGUCAACGGUGAGUGCUCAGUGUUUGGGGGGUGUCCCCACUCUUUAAUGCUCC